rnacentral:rRNA from 1 species
GUAGAUAUGAUGCAAGAUCGACUAUGUUGAAUAAAAUUCUAGGUAGAAUUAUGAUAAUGACAUUGUCUGCCUAUGUGUCUUGACCAAAUUACGUGCCAGCAGUCGCGGUAAUACGUAGAAGACUAGUGUUAUUCAUGUUUAAUCGGUUUAAAGGGUACCUAGACGGUAGAUCAAGCUUUCUAAUAAAGGAAAAGGACUAAUUUACUAGAGUUACUUAUGAGGGGGUAUUAAAGUACUGCUGGUGUAGAGAUGAAAUUCUGUCAUACCUCUUUUCAAAAGAAAAACCAUGGCACAGGUAUAGGCGAAGGCAUCCCCUUAUGUGAUAACUGACGUUGAGGGACGAAGGCUUUGUGUAGCGAACAGGAUUAGAUACCCCAGUAGUCGAAGCAGAAAAUGAUGAAUGUCAUAGAUUAGAUAUAUAAGUUUAUUCUAUAAAUGAAAGUGUAAGCAUUCCACCUCAUGAGUAAUUUGGCAACAUUGGAACUGAAAUCAUUAGACCGUUUCUGAAACCAGUAGUGAAGUAUGUUGUUUAAUUUGAUGAUCCGCAAAAAACCUUACCACAAUUUGAAUAUUUAUAUUAUUUAUUGUUUUAUUCUUAAUUUUCUUGAACGUAUAGAUCACGUAAAAGAAAAUAAAACAAGACGGUAAUAGUAAGAAAAUUAAUAAAGAGGCAAUAAGAUAUAUUUACAAGCGUUGCACGGCUGUCUUCAGUUAAUGUCGCGAGACUUUGGUUAGUUCCAUUAAAUUAACGUAAACCCUUACUUUAUUUUUAUAUAGAGUAGUUCCCCGCUAUAUUGGAUAUGAUAACAGGGACUAAGACAA